rnacentral:rRNA from 1 species
UGGGGAAUAUUGGACAAUGGGCGAAAGCCUGAUCCAGCAAUGCCGCGUGAGUGAUGAAGGCCUUAGGGUUGUAAAGCUCUUUUACCAGGGAUGAUAAUGACAGUACCUGGAGAAUAAGCUCCGGCUAACUCCGUGCCAGCAGCCGCGGUAAUACGGAGGGAGCUAGCGUUGUUCGGAAAUACUGGGCGUAAAGCGCACGUAGGCGGUACAGUAAGUCAGGGGUGAAAUCCCGGAGCUCAACUCCGGAACUGCCUUUGAAACUACUGAACUAGAAUCUUGGAGAGGCGAGUGGAAUUCCGAGUGUAGAGGUGAAAUUCGUAGAUAUUCGGAAGAACACCAGUGGCGAAGGCGACUCGCUGGACAAGUAUUGACGCUGAGGUGCGAAAGCGUGGGGAGCAAACA